rnacentral:rRNA from 1 species
GACGUAGGGUGCGAGCGUUGUCCGGAUUUAUUGGGCGUAAAGAGCGUGUAGGCGGCUAGACAGGUCUGCUGUGAAAACUCGAGGCUCAACCUCGAGAUGUCGGCGGAAACCGUCUGGCUAGAGUCCGGAAGAGGAGAGUGGAAUUCCUGGUGUAGCGGUGAAAUGCUUAGAUAUGACGCAGAACACCAAUUGCGAAGGCAGCUUGCUACACUACUAUUGACACUGAGGCACGAAAGCGUGGGGAUCAAACAGG